rnacentral:rRNA from 1 species
GAUGAACGCUAGCGGCAGGCCUAAUACAUGCAAGUCGGACGGGAUUCAGGAGCUUGCUUCUGAUGAGAGUGGCGCACGGGUGCGUAACACGUAUGUAACCUACCUUUAUCAGGGGGAUAGCCUCUCGAAAGAGAGAUUAAGCCCGCAUAAAAUCACAGCACAGCAUUGUGUAAUGAUCAAAUAUUUAUAGGAUAAAGAUGGGCAUGCGGAACAUUAGCUAGAUGGCGGGGUAACGGCCCACCAUGGCGACGAUGUUUAGGGGAUCUGAGAGGAUGGCCCCCCACACUGGUACUGAGACCCGGACCAGACUCCUACGGGAGGCAGCAGUAAGGAAUAUUGGGCAAUGGGCGGUAGCCUGAACCAGCCAUGCCGCGUGCAGGAAGACGGCCCUACGGGUUGUAAACUGCUUUUAUACGGGAAUAAACCCAGAUACGUGUAUCUGGCUGAAUGUACUGUAAGAAUAAGGAUCGGCUAACUCCGUG